rnacentral:snRNA from 1 species
GGAUGUGAGAGCAGUGUGGCUGUGACAUCUGUUGUCCCAGUGAUGAUUCAGGGUUGGCUCACUGAUCUGGCUGGGUAGGCGGGAGUCCCCUUUCUCAUAGCUCUCCAUGCGCCCCUCCUAGAGCUGGGUGCUUGGUGGGAGAGGAUGACUUUCCUCUUUGGGCUUCAGCCACAGGUCUGGAGUAACUGGUCCCCUGAUACAAUCUCCAAAACGCUCUCAAGGUCCAAAAGUCUGGUAUCCCUAGACUUUUGACCCACUGAGAUUCAGUCACAUUGGCCUUUUUUU